rnacentral:rRNA from 1 species
AUUGAACGCUGGCGGCAUGCUUUACACAUGCAAGUCGAACGGUAACAGGCCUUCGGGCGCUGACGAGUGGCGAACGGGUGAGUAAUGCAUCGGAACGUGCCCAGAGGUGGGGGAUAACGCAGCGAAAGCUGUGCUAAUACCGCAUAUUAUCUGAGGAUGAAAGCGGGGGACUAAGCAGCAAUGUUUGGCCUCGCGCCUUUGGAGCGGCCGAUAUCAGAUUAGGUAGUUGGUGGGGUAAAGGCUCACCAAGCCAACGAUCUGUAGCUGGUCUGAGAGGACGACCAGCCACACUGGAACUGGGACACGGUCCAGACUCCUACGGGAGGCAGCAGUGGGGAAUUUUGGACAAUGGGCGCAAGCCUGAUCCAGCAAUGCCGCGUGCAGGAAGAAGGCCUUCGGGUUGUAAACUGCUUUUGUACGGAACGAAAAGGCUCUGGUUAAUACCUGGGGCUCAUGACGGUACCGUAAGAAUAAGCACCGGCUAACUACGUG